ensembl:lncRNA
GGAAGAAGACUCCUAUGCUUUCAGAGAACUGGCAGUGACCAGUCUUCCAAUACUAUCUGUAGAUCUCUCAAGAUUUCAGGAUCUUCCUACACUGUCUCAUUCACAGAGGAAGAAUGAAGAAUCAUCAGGGAUAGGUCUUUAGGGAGGACAAAAUCUUCUAUCUCCAAGCUGGUGCAAGCAGAGAAGAAAAGAGUACUGAGAGUCCUCCUGAUGUGUUCAGUAUGGAUAGCACCGGUGUGAGAAGAGAAAGCUGAAGGAUGCUGAGUGAACUGGAAACAAGGUAUAACAGAAGAUGUGGACAAAGCAGCUGUCUCCAGGAAUGGAGGAAUGAAAUGCAGGAGUUUCUUCCUCUGAGUGAUUCUGGAGGAUACCAGCACAGUACUCAAGCUACCAGAAUUUCUAAGUGCUCCCAACUGUGAUGUUCAACAUGUCAUGAACCAUAGUGCCCACCACGGCACUUGCACUGUCUGUCACCUGAACAAUCAAAGAGUUGGAAUUAUUUUGACCCAUAACUGUUUCUCCUUUGGAAAUGGCGAGGUCAUGUGCUGAAAUACCUUUCAAGCAUCACCGAACAUAAUCACUUAUCUCAUGAGUUGCUCCUCAAGAUCUUUUGUUGAGUACUGCUGAUGUCCACAGCAAGAUGUUUUUUUUCUUGAGAAUGCACAAAACUUCCUGGUCAAUGCAAAGUAUUCUGCCUGAAUCACAGAAUCUUAGAAUCAUAGGAUGAGAAAGUUUGGAAAAGACUUCCAGGAUCAUCCAGUCCAACUUUACUCCAACCACCAAUAUUUCCCCACUAAACCAUGUACCUCAGUGCAACAUCUAAAAGUUCCUUGAACAUCUCCAGGGGUAGUGACUCAGCCACAUUCCCGGGCAGCCUAUUCCAGUGCCUGAUCACUCUUUCAGAGGAUACUUUUUUCCUAGUAUCCAACCCGAACCUCCCCUGGCUCAGCUUGAGGCCAUUUCCUCUCAUCCUAUUGCUAAUUAUGUGGGAGAAGAGACUGAACCCAACCUCACCUCAACCUCCUUCCAGGAGUUGUAGAGAAUCCUAAGGUCUCCCCUGAGCCUCCUCUUCUCCAGAAGAUCCUCUUGUCAGAUGCAUGUUAUUUUUUUAUACUUACCAUUGAUCAGUCUGUCUCCUGCAGUAGCAUAAGUUGCAUCUUUUCUCUCCUAUUGAUUAAGAAUAUACCUCCCUGACUGUAUCAGAAUUUCUCUUUUACAGAACUCUCUUCUUGCCUUGCUCCUCCUUCAUACUUCCAUAUAGUUCCUUACUGUAAGUUGCUGUGCUGUAUGUGAAUAUGUUGAUUUGACUACUCAUAAUCUCAAAGGAAAUUUCUAUAAGCUCCUGGGAAAUUCACCAAGAAAAAAAUAGCCUUAUUUCAGGUAACUGCACUAAGCAUUUUUAAGUCAUUCAUCUGGAGUUCAUUAAGUGGAAGGAACUUCCCCAAGUCGACUUCUGUCUCCCAGAAAUGAGCCUGAGUAAACUUAUUCAUUCCUUGAUAGCAGGAGUAGAAUGCUGAUUCAGGUGUCUCAAACUUGAAAUUUGGGAUUACCUGUUAGUCAAAAUGAUAUGUAUCUAUCCUGCCUGUAAGUAUGCCAGGAGGUCAAAUGUUAUACUACAGUCCAUACAUCAUUGGAUCCUUCUAAUUUUGUGAACAACAACUGAGACCUAAUAAUGAGACUCUUUUCUUUAUCAUUUUCUUUUAACUAAGUUAAAUAAAGAAUUUUAAACAUCUGUGUACCAGAACAACAAGCAAGUGCAUCACAGAUACAGAAAGUAAUUGGAACAUAUUCUCCAAAUGAGGCAUUACAGACAUUAUAGACUCUGUUAACAUUAUCUAUCAUUUGUGAUAGGAUGUUCUUCAAGGUGUGAGGGAUUUUAAGAAAAGCAGAUGAGCCCAGAGGGUCUCAUACAUUUCUUCUUGUCUAAACUUCCUAAAUCUGUCAGUCAGACUGUGAAAAUGUAGCUCCCAACGUGCAAGGAAAAAACCGUUCCUUCCUUUUUACAUAUUGUUGCUAGAGUUGAUGGGACAUCUGUGGGCUCUAGUGGGUAAGAGUGUGACUUAAAGAAAGCAGGACAUUUACGUCAGAUAAUUAGUUUUUGAGUUGUGUAGAAAUGACCUAAGAUGAAGCAUCAAGAAUAUAUGGCAGUAAUCUCCAGUACUGCGCUCCCCAGUAGUCAAUGUGCUCUUAGACUCUUACAAGGUUUGCAGUUUAUGAAAAACAUUUAAGUGUUUCUGUUACACAUUUUGGUUGCCAUGUUACCUUGGCUUCCAUCAGACUGCAACAAACCCAAAACACCUCCUUACAUACUUGCUUUAUGACAUUUUAUUAGAAUGCCAAUAUAACAGUUUUAUAGUAAAUGUAGGAUAUGGCAGGAGACUAAAAUAACACCAUAUUCUCUGAACACUUUAAUCUAGGUUUAAUAAUUUUAGGGUUUUUAGACAUUUGUAACUUAACCUGUGGGCAUAAUCUAGUAGUAACAGUGCUUGAGAGAAGUUAUGAGCACUGCACUCUGAGAUUACAGUGGCUCAAAUAACAUAGUGGUUCCAAGGGAAACUAAAUCUUUUUAAAACCCCUCAAACAUCAGUUUAAACUGUUAACUUUAAUUUUAUUUUAAAUUCAUGUUAGAGUAAUUGCAUCAAGCUGGGAUUAUGUGCUUUCUCUGAUUCUGUUUUAAAGCACUUCUGCCUAUUUUAACCAUUUCUUGUACAGGCAACUCUCACUUUUUGGGAGCUUCUCCCUCACUGAGUGUAUUCACUUUAAGUGAUAUCUUUUUCAAGUGAUGAGAGCUUUGAUAUAUAAUAAUUGGUGGCAUGUGUGAUUUAUGCUUUCUCAAAAGAUGGGUGUAAUACUUACUGUUGGUAAAGAU